CAGUCGCCACGGUAAUACGAAGGGGGCUAGCGUUGUUCGGAUUUACUGGGCGUAAAGCGCACGUAGGCGGACUUUUAAGUCAGGGGUGAAAUCCCGGGGCUCAACCCCGGAACUGCCUUUGAUACUGGAAGUCUUGAGUAUGGUAGAGGUGAGUGGAAUUCCGAGUGUAGAGGUGAAAUUCGUAGAUAUUCGGAGGAACACCAGUGGCGAAGGCGGCUCACUGGACCAUUACUGACGCUGAGGUGCGAAAGCGUGGGGAGCAAACAGGAUUAGAUACCCCGGUAGUCCCUGUCUCUUAUAA
rnacentral:rRNA from 1 species